UACGUAGGCAGCAAGCGUUGUUCGGAAUUACUGGGCGUAAAGAGUGUGUAGGCGGUGCUCCAAGUCUGGUGUGAAAUCUCCCGGCUUAACUGGGAGGUGCAUUAGAAACUGGAAUGCUAGAGGAUGGGAGAGGUAAGCGGAAUUCCUGGUGUAGCGGUGAAAUGCGUAGAUAUCAGGAGGAACACCUGUGGUGUAGACAGCUUACUGGACCAUUUCUGACGCUGAGACACGAAAGCGUGGGUAGCAAACAGG
rnacentral:rRNA from 1 species